rnacentral:misc_RNA from 1 species
UUUGCAAAGGCAAUUGCCAUAGCAUUCAUACGUUCAUUCGUUGUUGGUAUACGACGAUCUGUGUGUAUUGUGUUAUAUUUUCAAUAUAGCUGAAGCGACAAGCAUUGAAUCCACUAUAGAGCUAUAGCAAGCAAGCAAGCACACGGUAAACGGUUGGACUAUCAGCUCAGCCCAUACACAGUAUACAAGACUACGGCACAGUAAAAGCAAAGCAAGCGGCAGCGCAUUUGUUGGAGAUUAUACAAUUCACAACAAGCAAUUCAGCGCGAAGCAAAAAUAUAGGCGAGAUUGCCUGAAUAGCAUUGCAAAGUAGCAGAAGCAGCAACGCCAUAGCAGUCAGCUAUAGACGUCGUCGACUCUACAAUAUAAAAAUACAAUAUACAACGGCUAUACGGACCACGGGGCUACGACGUCGAUACUCGUGUGAGAAAUACGACGACGCAGCGGAAUACGACCAUAAGCGAUUGCAUAUGCGGAUAGCAGUGAAGUGUACAGUAGCGGCAGCGAACGCAGCAGCAGCAGAGCCAGCUAUAGAGGAGUAACGUAACGGCUGGUUAUACGAAACGACAUUAUACACAAUACAUGCUAUAGACCAGGGGCAAAGCUGUACCCACAGUAUAGUCAUAGUAACGAGCAUUGCUAUUACAGAAUCGGUGCAUAGAGCUAUCUUGAGCUACAAACUAUAGGCGAAACGAAACAGGCGUAUAGGGAAAACAAAAAAAAACAGCGCAUACCAACUGAGUAUCGUCGCAAUUUAUUAUAUGUGCGAAUGCUUGUUGGAAUUUGUGAGUAUUGAAACGUGCAGAGAGAGAGAGGGUGAGAGAGUGUAACUACGUGAAACAUUAUUGAAGGGAAGUAGAGUGUUGUAGAGGAAACUUUAAUAUAUCAUUUUUGUACGACGGGGCGAACGGGUGUACAAAGUAAAGCAAGUGAACAGUGAGUGCCUGUGGUUUUUCCUUUUUCGUCGCACAAAUUGUUGAGAAAACUAAAAGCAGAGACUCAUUUUAUAUGCGUAAAAACAAAUAAGUGGUUUUGUAUGUGAUUGCAUAAAGCGAAUUGGUGAAGUGUUUGUAAAAGAACUCUGUGAAGGAGUGAAAAAAGAGGGUCGUCGCGCGCGCGAAUAUUUCCCCUAAGCGAUCCCCCCCAUAUAAUAUAUAUCUAUCACGAGUGUUGUUAGUAGACGCACAACGAAAGUAGUGUGUGAGAGCGUACAAAGGAGUGAGAGGAGAGACAGAGACAUUUUUAUUCUUCGUGUGCUGUGCAAGCGGCAUUAGCAGCAUUCGAAUACAUUGUUGGUAUUGUAUAAUUUUAUAAUACGUGGAGUGGCGAACGGCGGCACAUUGUUGAACAACGCAACGUAAACGCCUAAAUAAAGUAUAGCCAUAGCAUUUGUGUAUAGAGCUAAAGCCUUAUUACAGCUAGCAGCAGCAACAUAGGAAACAGCGACAACAAUAACAACAACAACAGUAAUAAUAACGACUACAGCAGCAGCAGCAGCAGUAACAACAAUUAUAGUGACGCAGUAAAGCAGCAGCAGCAACAACACAACAUAUAGUUGCAGUAUGGAGCACUUUCAUCAGAUUCAGCAAACUCUUCAACACUAUCAGCAGCAGUUGGCUGCGCAGCAACAGCAGCAGGCAGUACAACAACAACAAUUACAGCAACAGCAGGCCCAUCAAGUGGUCGUGCAACAAAAUCAACAGCAAGCACAUCAAAAUAAUGCCAACACCACUUCUGGUGUAGGCACCCAACAGUUAUUUACCUAUAAAAUGGCCAGUAGCUUCCCAAAUCCAGCCACGACCAUGGCACAGGUGGUCGCUACCUCAAAUGCGGCCGGUUCAACCGGCUACGAUUAUCGUCUUAAUAUGGCACAAGCAGCUGCAGCGGCAGCGGUACCCGGUUCACAAUGGUGGUAUUCGGCUGCGAAUUCUGGACAAAUAGAUGCCAACACCGCCGCACAAUUACAGCAGCAGCAACAACAACAGCAGCAACAGGCACAGCAACAGCAGCAACAGCAACAACAACAGCAGCAGCAACAGCAAGCGGCUCAGCAACAGCAACAGCAGGCUCAACAGCAGCAACAGCAACAACAACAGCAGCAGCAGCAACAGCAACAACAGCUACAGCAGCAACAACAAAAUGCUACAGCGAGCACGAUGAUUCGUGGUGCUAAAGCUGAUGCGAAGCCCCGAGGCCGUAUGACAGCGUACGCUUACUUUGUGCAAACAUGCCGAGAGGAGCACAAGAAGAAGCAUCCCGAUGAGACAGUCAUCUUUGCCGAAUUCUCCCGAAAGUGCGCUGAGAGAUGGAAGACAAUGGUGGAUAAGGAGAAGAAGCGCUUCCAUGAGAUGGCCGAAAAAGAUAAGGCGCGAUAUGAGAUGGAGAUGCAAAAUUAUGUACCGCCCAAAGGAACGGUGGUAGGACGUGGCAAGAAGAGGAAAAUGAUUAAGGACCCGAACGCGCCGAAAAGAUCAUUAUCUGCAUUCUUUUGGUUUUGCAAUGAUGAACGUAACAAAGUUAAAGCUGCGAAUCCAGAGUAUGGUGUUGGCGAUAUAGCCAAGGAGCUCGGCCGUAAAUGGUCUGAUGUGGAACCAGAGGUUAAACAAAAGUACGAGUUAAUGGCUGAGAAGGACAAGGCGCGCUAUGAGCGGGAAAUGACCGAGUACAAAACUAGCGGGAAAAUACCGAUGUCCGCGCCUUCAAUGCAAGCACAGCAGGCUGCAGCGCAGAAAGCAGCGUUACUUGCUGCAAGUUCGCAGCAGCAUGAGGAGCAUGGAGACGAUGAUGGCGACGGCGAUGAUGAUGAAAAUCAAUAGAUUUAAGCAAAUACAAAAUAAACAAAGAAAAAGUAGAAGGAUGAGCAUAUAAGAUAAAAAAAAAACAAAAGAAAAAUAAACAAAAAAAGAAAGAAUUAACAAUUUUCCACUCAAAAAAGAAAAUGGAACUUAUAUAACGUAAUAUUUAAGUGAAUAAAACCAGAAAUAUUGAAUGAGACAUAGAAAUCAAGCAAAAAGUUACAAAUAUUAAAACAAUAAAACAGACGAGAAUUAAAACAAAAGUAAUGAAAUUUAACAGGGAGAUAGUACAUACAACUAUGUAAAAUACAAAACGUAGUAUAUAUGUAUGCCGCAAAUGAAAAAUCAAAGCUAAAAGUAGUUGUAACUCCAGCAAGCACUAUCAAGGAAAUCCAAGCCACAAUAUGCUAAAAAAGUAACAAUACUUUAAAUCAACACUGCUUUUAAAAAUCAUGGCGGCACAUACAACCGACACAAUGAAGACUCCAAAUAAUCUACUCCCCAAAACAAAAAUUACUACUCAUUUUAAGUGUUGAAAUACACACAAGCGAUCAACAUAAUAGCAAAUAUUAGAAAAAAAAGAUACAACACAAAACAAGCAUGACUCACCAAUAAUAGUUAGUUGACAUCGUUUGAAGAGUAGAAAUAGCGGCAUCUUUGAAUAAUAAUGGCAAACAACUCAGAUACGAUUAUUUUAUAAUUAAAAAUAUUGUUUCGAUUAAUUUGAUUUAUUGUAACAUUAGCAAUAAAUGUUAGGAUUAAAGAGAGACACUCAUAGUUUAGGGGCAAAUAAGAAGAAAAAUAAAGAGAAAAUAUAAUGAAGAAGUCAAUAUAAAAGUGGCGUAUGCGCUUCACUUAAAAUGCCAACGCAAUAGGAUUUAUUAUUUUAUCAUCACACCGAUUAUUAUUGGCAGUUAUUAUUAUUAUUUUUCAAAACUAGCAUUUAAUGUUGAUAUAAAACGAAAUUACAAAAAAAAAAUAUAUAAAAACACAAACAAAAAAUAGAAAUUCCAAUUUUUCGUUGGUUUAGCGUGUAAAAACGAAAUACAUAUUUUAUAUUUACUAUUUCAAAAUCAUACAACAUAAACAUUUAAAGAAAUGUUUAGAAAAGGACAACUGAAAAUAAAAAAAUAUUUUGAAAUAUUUUUAUAAAUACAUAAGUGCGGUUGAAUUGCUGUAUGAAAACUAUGUACGAGUAUCUCGAAUGUGAAUAUAUUUUGAGGCGAUUAUUACAUACAUAUAUUACAUACUAUGUAUAACUGCUAGCCACAAUACAUGCAUAUAUGAAUAAGCAACAGUUAUAUAGUUGUAUACUACACUCAUACAGCAGCAAAAAAUACAAUAAGAAACAAUAUAUAAAAAUAAAUUUAUAUAAUGUACGAUAAGAUUUAGAAUAUACGUAUGGUGAAAACCCAAAAAAAACUAUGCAAUUUUUUUCACAAAUCACCUUUGGCAAUCGCUUGGGGUUUAAACAAUAUUACGGAUUCUUUCAGAAUUUAAUUUUUCGUUAAAUUUUUGAAAACAUGAAGACAAUAGUGUUUAUUUCAUAUUUUCCGAAAUAGUGUAUGACCAUUUUUGUGCAAGGUAAAGUUUAAUAUUUGAAAACUUAUUAAAUUUAAUCACUACAAUCGCGUUUUAUUCGCCGUAUGAUUACUAAACUUCACUCAGAAUAUUUUCAAAUUAAAAAAACGCACUUUCAAAUAAUUUAAGUUCAAAAUACCUUAUCUCUUUCCGGUAAGUUUAUGGAUAAACACUUCAAAAAAA